AACUUGCUAUCGAAUUUGCAGCGCAAAGCAAGCAGAAGGAGACAAUCAGUAGAAGGCUGCGAAUAAAUUCAUUGUUAACUUGGGGUUGUUACUGCCUAAUUGUGCAAUUUUGUUCAAAUAAUAAGAAAAUAAUAUCAAAUAUUUACAAAAUUAAUUAUUUGUUUCACAAAAUUCGAAAAUAUAAAUAAAUAAUUUUAAAAUUAAAAAAGAAAACCACCUCUGAGGAAGAUAUUCAUCAAAUACCUAGCUGCCUUCUAGCUUGUGUGUAUGUGUAACAAAACGAAGUAAUCAAGCAAAAUCGUGCGAUAUACAUACAGAAAAGAUGGCCACCACAGCCUCAUCCACUGAUUUACCACCCAGCACCAAUGAACGCCAUUAUUAUGCAAAGUUGGAAGCUAUUAAAGAUAUACGCGAUAAAACGAUAUCAUUAGAGAAGCUAAAGGUACGCAUUAUUCGAGAGGUGAAGUUGAGUGACGAUGAAGAAAAGUGCCUGGAUGAAUAUCGCAAAGAAUUGGAACAUUUGUUGGAAGAAAAGAUGUCGCAUGUCGAGGAGUUGCGACAGAUACAUGCCGAUAUUAAUGACAUGGAAAAUAUCAUAAAACAGACCAAGGAUAAUCAGACACGUUCGGUGGACAUGGCUAAUCGUCAUUAUGAAGAUUAUUUAGCAUUGAAGUAUCAAAUAGACCACAUGCGGCGUGAAUAUUUGGGUCUGAGUCCAUUGAGAGAUUUGCACGAGGAAGAAGGUAGUCCAAUAUCAAAGGACCGGUUUCAGAGUAAUUUCCUAAAAGUUGCGGCCCAAAAUGCAUCACAGUCUUCAGCGCUGGCUAGGCCACACCCUAGACAUCCAUUGAUGCCAGAGUCUGCAGUAGCAGCACUGCCACCCUCGACGCCAAGUGGGCCAACAUCAGGGCCACCACCACCCACAGGCGGUCAUGCGUUUAUGCCACCAGCUCCACCGGGAAGUGCUCAAAGUCCUGCUUCUGCCGUACGCCUUGGUAAAAGUGAUUUUUCAGCUCCUCCACCUCCUCCCCCGCCCUCGAGUCGUCUACAACAAACGCCAUCUAUUGGUUUGGGUCAUCAUCCCACAUUUCGUUCGGAUUUCAAUGUAAAUCUACGACAACAACCACCCCCAAUGAAGUCCUGCCUGUCGUGUCAUCAACAAAUUCAUCGUAAUGCUCCCAUAUGCCCGCUGUGUAAAGCCAAAUCACGUUCUCGCAAUCCCAAGAAGCCCAAAAAGAAAACCAAUUAAUAUGCCGUAUUUUAAGGAUAACAUGAAUGAAGCAAAUGUAAGUGGACUGAGUCUCUGUGUAUAUGCAAAUGUUUUCCUUUUACAAGCAAGGGUUAAAGCAUUGUUAGGCGUUUUUCGCAAUAAAAAUUCUCCAUAUUUUGUUGACAGCCGGAAUUGACUUGAUGGACUCUAUGUCAGUCUUUAAAGUUGAAAUAACAUUUGUUUUUGGGGUAAGAUCCCCAAAACCACCUACGGAUUCACACUCCGAUAGAGUGCCACUAACUGUCGAUGCUGAUGCCACUGAUCGAACGGACUCUAAAUGAAAAUUAAAUAUAUUAUUUAAAAACAGAAAUAUAUUAUUUAAAAAAAGAAAAAAAUAUUAACAGCCUGUUUCUUUAUUUUGAAACGAAAUUUUUUUUGUUCCGACAUAAAGAAACAGACUGUAAAUCCAGUGUACUUACCUCCAAAUUGCAACUCAAUAUGAAAAGUAGGCGUUGACAUAUAUUGAUGAAUUACUUUUUCAAACUGGUCUUCUUUAAUGGUUGCACCAAACACUAAGGCUGUUAUUUUUCUUGAGGCAUCAAUUUUUAACUCUAAUUUGGCUGCUUUUAUAAAGCUUUGUAGAUUUAAAGGCUCCGGCGCUUCGACAAAUAAUUUGUCUUCCCCCAAAACAGUUGGUAUCAACAUUUAUUACAACACUUGCGACACGACGCGAAGGCACAAAACAAAUAAAAAGAAUAAAAAAAGAACACAACCAGAAUGCCAACAUGAGACACGCGCAAAUGUUACGCUCUUUUGUUCUCAUCAAGCAAAUCGGUGUGUAUGCAUGAACAUUAGUAAGAAGCAACGUCUCAGCAACAAAAAAAAAACAUACAAACAGCUCUUUGUGUGUUGUUGUUGGCAUUUUUUGGUGCAUGGACAAUAGAAAAGAAAUAAACGUCUCAGCAACAGUUUCCAUCCCUCUUGCCGCGCACAAGUUGAGUGUCUCAACUUGAGACACGCGAGUUAACUUCCGUACCGCCGACAAAUAAGAAAACAAGAAUUAUUCUGUUUUAGAUGCCAAAUACAACUAAUGCUUUAUUCAAAAAAUUCUUAUAUUUAAGCGAUUUUACAAUUAUUGAUUUUUCUUAGAGUUAACAAAGAACAAAGGAACAUAAAAUCUAGAGCUAUCAAGAAAAAUACUUAAGCUAAAAAUUUGUAUUGGGUACAGUAAAAGUAAACAUUUCUUUUUGGGUUAUUUCCGUCAUAGUUUUAUUACUAGUGUUGUUAUUGUGAUGUUGAAGUGGAGAAUUAUUGCUGACGAAAUAAUGUCAACAAUAUUGGUGUUAGCUCUUUGGUGCUUAUGACAAUGUUGUAACUAAUAAUGAUGUUAAUAAUAAUGAUAUUAAUAAUAAUGAUGUUAAUAAUAAUGAUGUUAAUAAUAAUGGUGUUAACAAUAAUGAUGUUUUUAAUAAAUGAGGUUGUGGUUGAAAAUAAUGAA